GAAAUGCGAUAAGUAAUGUGAAUUGCAGAAUUCAGUGAAUCAUCGAAUCUUUGAACGCACCUUGCGCUCCUUGGUAUUCCUUGGAGCAUGCCUGUUUGAGUAUCAUGAAAUCUUCAAAGUAAAUCUUUUGUUAACUCAAUUGGUUUCUACUUUGGUAUUGGAGGUCUUUGCAGCUUCACACCUGCUCCUCUUUGUUCAUUAGCUGGAUCUCAGUGUUAUGCUUGGUUCCACUCGGCGUGAUCAGUUAUCUAUCGCUGAGGACACUGUAAAAGGUGGCCAAGGUAAAUGCAGAUGAACCGCUUCUAAUAGUCCAUUGACUUGGACAAUACUUUUAUGAUCUGAUCUCAAAUCAGGUAGGACUACCCGCUGAACUUAAGC
rnacentral:misc_RNA from 1 species